UACGUAGGGUGCAAGCGUUAAUCGGAAUUACUGGGCGUAAAGCGUGCGCAGGCGGUUUUGUAAGUCUGUCGUGAAAUCCCCGGGCUUAACCUGGGAAUGGCGAUGGAGACUGCAAGGCUAGAAUCUGGCAGAGGGGGGUAGAAUUCCACGUGUAGCAGUGAAAUGCGUAGAGAUGUGGAGGAACACCGAUGGCGAAGGCAGCCUCCUGGGCCAGCACUGACGCUCAUGCACGAAAGCGUGGGGAGCAAACAGG
rnacentral:rRNA from 1 species